UGGUGAACCUCAACCUCUGAUGUGCUCUGU
rnacentral:piRNA from 1 species